GAUGAACGCUGGCGGCGUGCCUAAUACAUGCAAGUCGAGCGAACGGACGAGAAGCUUGCUUCUCUGAUGUUAGCGGCGGACGGGUGAGUAACACGUGGAUAACCUACCUAUAAGACUGGGAUAACUUCGGGAAACCGGAGCUAAUACCGGAUGAUAUUUUGAACCGCAUGGUUCAAAAGUGAAAGACGGUCUUGCUGUCACUUAUAGAUGGAUCCGCGCUGCAUUAGCUAGUUGGUAAGGUAACGGCUUACCAAGGCAACGAUGCAUAGCCGACCUGAGAGGGUGAUCGGCCACACUGGAACGGAGACACGGUCCAGACUCCUACGGGAGGCAGCAGUAGGGAAUCUUCCGCAAUGGGCGAAAGCCUGACGGAGCAACGCCGCGUGAGUGAUGAAGGUCUUCGGAUCGUAAAACUCUGUUAUGAGGGAAGAACAUAUGUGUAAGUAACUGUGCACAUCUUGACGGUACCUAAUCAGAAAGCCACGGCUAACUACGUG
rnacentral:rRNA from 1 species